AUGAAUAGAUGAAUGUGAAAUGUUGGUGAACUCUAAUGAUGCUAUGAUGACUUUCGACAGCAAACACGUAAGUCUUUGUUGAUUGGACGUAAGUUACUAUUGCAAAUCAAAUUCUCAAUAUGCACCUAUAAGCUGUAGCAAAUGUGGAUCUUGAUUUGAAAGAUGAGUGAUAUUUUUAAAGAAAUGUUAUGUAUCAUUUGUUUUUUAUUACUUUUUGUAUCGCCACUUAUAUGUGGAUAUUUAUAAUUUUUUUUUAAAAAACAAUUAUUAAGUAAAAAAUGUUCAUAUAAAAGAGUGAAGAAAUAUAAGUGAUAUAUAUAAAAACCCUCAUUGUAGGCUAAGAGUCCAGAUCAUUUAUCAUGGUUUUCUGCAGUAGUUUCUGUGUAUCUUCUUCUUUGCUUUACAUCAUCAAUCUGUUAAACCCUAGCAGGGAGAGAGGCGGAGACGGCUGAAAGUCGGAGUGAGGAAUUGAAAGAGACACAGAGAAACGAAUGCGAACUGAGAGACGAAAGAGAUGGCGGAGCAGCGCGAUGGCAAAGGAGCAAUGCAAAGGAUAACAGGCGACGAUGAGUCUGGUGGCGAUGCAGGAAGGCGAGAUUGCAACGGCGAUUAGUUUGAACCAAACCCAGAGAGAAAGAGAGAAGCAGAGAAGAAAGAAGAGAGGAAGAGAAGAAGACGGUGAUGGCCCGAAAAAGUAGUAAAGUCUAUUCUCUCUCAUCAAACUUCAAAACCAUCUCUCGCUACUCACUCUCUCCUCAGAGUCAACUCCAUUCGAGCCCUUAAUCUCUUCCAAAUCCUCUCAUCAGCUACGGGUGUGGACUCGCAUAACAGAUCUUCAGCUACGGGUGUGGACUCGUAUACGGCGGUGUCAACUAGCAGAAAAAAAAAGGUACCACAACAAAAGGUAAACCCAUAAUCGCAAAAAAACUAGGGUUUGUGUUUCUGUGUUUGGAUUUUUCUUGCAAUUUGUGUUAGGGUUUUGGUUUUGGCUUGAAUUUGUAGAACAUGUUUUUCGGACUUAUCAAUUAAUGAUUGUUAGGGUUAUGCUUGUUUGUCAGGGUUUGGACAUUAUGGGUUUUGCCUUCAAUUUUUGAUUGUUAUGUUGAUUUUGAUUGGCCAUUAUGUUGAUUGUUUGGGCAUUAUGAGAUAUGUGUUGAUUGAGUCAGACAUGAGUUAAUAGGAUUAAUGAGGUUUUGAUGUCUCAAUUUGAGAUUUGGACAUAGCAGUUAAGGUGUCAUAUAAGAGCUUGGAAUUUUAGAAAUCUAGAAAGUUCAUGAUUCAUUUUGUUUUUGAUUACUCACUUUAGUUUUGAAUUUCAGUGUUUUGUAUGAAAAGAAAAUUUAAGGUAUUUUAAUCUCCUAAAAUUUUUUUGUCAUCAGGAUUCAGUGUAUAGAGUUUAAAUUUAUAUCCUCUUAAAUAUGCUAGAUAAAACUAGAUGUUGCAAACUGUUUAAGCAACCAAAUUUUAUAAGAUGUUAAUAUCUACUACAGAAGAUUAAUUGUGUAGUUUCUUUUUAUUUUUAUGCAUUUUUUUUAUUUAUUGACAUGUGUUACAAUAUCUGCAUAUGUAUGUAGAAAUGAACAUAAGGAAAUGGCUAGUGCCAAAGCUAGUCUGGAUUUUGAACUCAAAUUGUUGGUAUACUUCAAGAAAUUCAUUGAAAUCUUUUUAUCCACGAAUGAAAUCUUUUUAUCCACGAAUGAAAAUUUUGUUAUUUUUGAGCAGCAAAAAGAAAAUUUGUUCAUUUUACAAUAUACUUUGGAAAUGAUUGGAGUCUUCAAGUGCUUAAAAAUGUGGAUUCCUUUCUUAAAAUUCUUGGCUUUUCUUAAUGUGAUGGAAGUUUAUUAAGAGCCAAGGGGAAUUAAAUCAGUUCUCUCAAGUUUCAAAGUUUAGUCAUAAAAGUGAAUGAAUGGGCCUGUGAAUACAUUAAAUAUGCCUCUGAUUUCAAAUAUCAAAUUCUUUUUGUAUAAAAGAGCAUGGUUUAUUCUUUAUGGUUGUUUUAAAUUUCCAUGUUGCUGAAGAUGUGCAUUUUGAUUUAAAAAAUCCCCUAUUUUUUUUUGAAAAUUUCAGCUUUGAUCAUGACUAGAAAAAAAUUGAAGCAUUUGUGGGGUCAAAAACAGUCAUACAGGUACUUUAAAAUUAUACCUUCUUUGAUCAUGUAUUUACCAUAGGAAAACAAUGACCUGUUAGCAGAAGAAUGUAUGUGGUUUCUUGGAACGUACCUAGGAAAGAACACAAGAUUUCUUCUUGUUUACUUUUGCUUAUGAAGCUGGUUGUAUAUUUACCAAUUAAAAAAGUAUAGGGUUUUAAUAACAUUAACAAAAGAGUAGGUAUGUAUGUAUCAACAAUAGCAAUAAUAGCUAUGUAUGUAUCAUGUAUUUGUUUUCCAUUUUGUAUGCAGAUUACAAAAUGGCUUGUUCCUCUAGUAACAAUGGCAACAUAAGAUUGAAACUAAGAUUGUGUGAUUGUGGGAGAACAACUGCCAUGCAUAUCGUCCGAACCAAUCAGAAUGGAAAUAGAGGACGUGUGUACUUUUUGUGUCCAUCGAAAUAUAUAAGCAGUAUGAAAAUUUGUUUGGAAAUUUAUUUGCCUGAUUUGAUUAACUGAUUGUCAUGCAUUGUAGAUUAGUGAGGAACACUGUAAUUACUUCAAGUUCGCAGAUGAUAAUGACGACGACGUGAUCUCUAAUGUUGUACCUCGUAAAUCUAUAAGAAGUGAAGAAUUUAAAGAUCUAAGCACAAGGGUUUAUGAGAUGGAUAAUGAAUUUCAAGAGCAUGGUAGAAGGCUUCGAAGGAUGGAGAAGAAAUUGAAUGUGAUGCUUUAUGUCAUUGUAUUUUGUAUUGUUUUCUAUUUUAUAAUGUAAAUUACUAAGUUGAUAGCUUUUGGGGAAUUUGUUGGAUGUACUUAUGGAUUGAAUGGACUUGAUGGAUUGUGGGUAUGUGUUGUGCUUCAUUCAAUGUGGGUAAUGAAAAACUUGUUCUGUUUUCAAUUAUUGUUGA